UACGGAGGGGGCUAGCGUUGUUCGGAAUUACUGGGCGUAAAGCGCACGUAGGCGGCUUUGUAAGUUAGAGGUGAAAGCCUGGAGCUUAACUCCAGAAUUGCCUUUAAGACUGCAUCGCUUGAAUCCGAGAGAGGUGAGUGGAAUUCCGAGUGUAGAGGUGAAAUUCGUAGAUAUUCGGAAGAACACCAGUGGCGAAGGCGGCUCACUGGCUCGGUAUUGACGCUGAGGUGCGAAAGCCAGGGGAGCAAACGGG
rnacentral:rRNA from 1 species